UUGGCAGAAACAUGGCUAUCCUUUUAGCCCGCCAGAUAAUUACGAGUAAAAACUUAAAAUUCAAAGGACUUGACGGUGUCCCACAUACAACCUAGAGGAGCCUGUCCUAUAAUCGAUAAUCCACGAUAGACCCGACCACUUUUUGCCAAACAAUCUAUAUACCGCCGUCGAAAGUUUACCUUUUAAAAGAAGAAAAGUAAACAAAAGAGUUCCUCCACUAGUAUGACAGGUCAAGGUGUAGUAAAUAAAGUGGCUAGAGAUGGGCUACACUUCCUUUAAAAGGAGAAACGAACAGCCUAAUGAAACAAUGCUAGAAGGCGGAUUUAGUAGUAAAGUAGGAUUAGAAAGCCCACUUGAACACGCUGCCCUGGGACG
rnacentral:rRNA from 1 species